AUUGAACGCUGGCGGCAGGCCUAACACAUGCAAGUCGAACGAGAGGCGGACGGGUGAGUAAUGUCUGGGAACCUGCCUGAUGGACGGGGCUAACUACUGGAAACGGUAGCUACUACCGCAUACCAUCAGAUGUGCCCAGAUGGGAUUAGCUAGUCGGGGGGGUAAUGGCUCACCUAGGCGACGAUGCCUAGCUGGUCUGAGAGGAUGACCAGCCACACUGGAACUGAGACACGGGCCAGACUCCUACGGGAGGCAGCAGUGGGGAAUAUUGCGCAAUGGGCGCAAGCCUGAUGCAGCCAUGCCGCGUGAGUGAAGAAGGCUUUCGGGUUGUAAAGCACUGUCAGCGAGGAGGCGUUACUCGCAGAAGAAGCAACGGCUAACUCCGUGCCAGCAGCCGCGGUAAUUC
rnacentral:rRNA from 1 species